rnacentral:rRNA from 1 species
UCUCCGUAGGUGAACCUGCGGAGGGAUCAUUACACAAAUAUGAAGGCGGGCUGGAACCUCUCGGGGUUACAGCCUUGCUGAAUUAUUCACCCUUGUCUUUUGCGUACUUCUUGUUUCCUUGGUGGGUUCGCCCACCACUAGGACAAACAUAAACCUUUUGUAAUUGCAAUCAGCGUCAGUAACAAAUUAAUAAUUACAACUUUCAACAACGGAUCUCUUGGUUCUGGCAUCGAUGAAGAACGCAGCGAAAUGCGAUAAGUAGUGUGAAUUGCAGAAUUCAGUGAAUCAUCGAAUCUUUGAACGCACAUUGCGCCCUUUGGUAUUCCAAAGGGCAUGCCUGUUCGAGCGUCAUUUGUACCCUCAAGCUUUGCUUGGUGUUGGGCGUCUUGUCUCUAGCUUUGCUGGAGACUCGCCUUAAAGUAAUUGGCAGCCGGCCUACUGGUUUCGGAGCGCAGCACAAGUCGCACUCUCUAUCAGCAAAGGUCUAGCAUCCAUUAAGCCUUUUUUUCAACUUUUGACCUCGGAUCAGGUAGGGAUACCCGCUGAACUUAA